rnacentral:lncRNA from 1 species
GUCGAUGAAUUGUAAUGUGAAUGUAUGAAAUUGGUAUGUGAAAUUGUAUUGAAUUGUAAUGUGAAUGUAUGAGAUUGGUGUGAAUUGAAUUGUAUUUGCAGGUAUUGGAUUGUAUUUGCAUUUAUUUACAGGUGUGAUUGAAUAGUAAGGCUCUAAAUGAGCACCCAUAUAAAUAAAACAUUUUUUUUUUAUUGUAUUAUAUUUUAGCGACGAUUUAGCGACGAUAAGUU